rnacentral:misc_RNA from 1 species
GAAAUGCGAUACGUAAUGCGAAUUGCAGAAUUCAGUGAAUCAUCAAAUCUUUGAACGCAAAUGGCGCUCUUGGGAUAGCCCUGGGAGCACACUUCUUUGAGUAUCGGUUCUAACUCUACUCGACCGCGUCGAUAUCUAAACAAUAUCGCUACGUCUAGGUCGGAUUUGAGUGUCUCGUUGCUUAGUCAGUGAGUCACUUUAAGUUCAAACCAAGGCCCAUAAAAGAUUCUCUUUAGUCUCUCUUUUGGGUUGAACGUGGAUAACUGUCGCACCUUGUGUGAUAUCGUCUUACGUUUCAACCUUUAAAGAAUUACGGGGCUUUAGAUGAGUCGGGUCUCAAUGGAAAUGAAACGUUAAUUCGUUUUCUCUUGAAUUAGAUCUCAAAUGAAGUGGGAAAACC